rnacentral:rRNA from 1 species
AUUGAACGCUGGCGUCAUGCCUUACACAUGCAAGUCGAACGGCAGCACGGGAGCAAUCCUGGUGGCGAGUGGCGAACGGGUGAGUAAUAUAUCGGAACGUGCCCAGUCGUGGGGAUAACGUAGCGAAAGCUACGCUAAUACCGCAUACGAUCUAUGGAUGAAAGCGGGGGAUCGCAAGACCUCGCGCGAUUGGAGCGGCCGAUAUCAGAUUAGGUAGUUGGUGAGGUAAAGGCUCACCAAGCCGACGAUCUGUAGCUGGUCUGAGAGGACGACCAGCCACACUGGGACUGAGACACGGCCCAGACUCCUACGGGAGGCAGCAGUGGGGGAAUUUUUGGGACAAAUGGGCGCAAGCCUGAUCCAGCAAUGCCGCGUGCAGGAUGAAGGCCUCGGUUGUAACGUAG